rnacentral:rRNA from 1 species
UACGAAGGGGGCUAGCGUUGCUCGGAAUCACUGGGCGUAAAGGGUGCGUAGGCGGGUUUUUAAGUCAGGGGUGAAAUCCUGGAGCUCAACUCCAGAACUGCCUUUGAUACUGAAAAUCUUGAGUCCGGGAGAGGUGAGUGGAACUGCGAGUGUAGAGGUGAAAUUCGUAGAUAUUCGCAAGAACACCAGUGGCGAAGGCGGCUCACUGGCCCGGUACUGACGCUGAGACGCGAAAGCGUGGGGAGCGAACAGG